CGAAAGUCUGACGCAGCAACGCCGCGUGAGUGAAGAAGGCCUUCGGGUUGUAAAGCUCUGUCGAGCGAGACGAAAAAUUGAUUAGUGAAUAGCUAGUCAAUCUGACGGUACCGCUAAAGGAAGCACCGGCUAACUCCGUGCCAGCAGCCGCGGUAAUACGGAGGGUGCAAGCGUUGCUCGGAAUUAUUGGGCGUAAAGGGUAGGUAGGUGGUCUCGUUUGUCUGGGGUGAAAUCCUUGAGCUUAACUCAAGAAGUGCCUCAGAAACGGCGAGACUAGAGUUCUGGAGAGGGUCGUGGAAUUCCCGGUGUAGCGGUGAAAUGCGUAGAGAUCGGGAGGAACACCAGAGGCGAAGGCGGCGACCUGGACAGAUACUGACACUAAACUACGAAAGCGUGGGGAGCAAACAGGAUUAGAUACCCUGGUAGUCCACGCUGUAAACGAUGGGUACUAGGUUUGGUGGGUCUUGACCCCCGCCGAACCGGCGCUAACGCAAUAAGUACCCCGCCUGGGAAGUACGGUCGCAAGACUA
rnacentral:rRNA from 1 species